UACGUAGGGACCGAGCGUUGUCCGGAAUCAUUGGGCGUAAAGAGCGUGUAGGCGGCUAUUUAAGUCCUGCGUGAAAUCCUGCGGCUCAACCGCAGACGGUCGUGGGAAACUGGAUGGCUAGAGUGCGGGAGAGGAGAGUGGAAUUCCCGGUGUAGCGGUGAAAUGCGCAGAUAUCGGGAAGAACACCCGUGGCGAAGGCGGCUCUCUGGGCCUUACCUGACGCUGAGGAGCGAAAGCGUGGGGAGCGAACAGG
rnacentral:rRNA from 1 species